CUGCCCAAGAGACUGGGAUAACACCUGGAAACAGAUGCUAAUACCGGAUAACAACACUAGACGCAUGUCUAGAGUUUGAAAGAUGGUUCUGCUAUCACUCUUGGAUGGACCUGCGGUGCAUUAGCUAGUUGGUAAGGUAACGGCUUACCAAGGCAAUGAUGCAUAGCCGAGUUGAGAGACUGAUCGGCCACAUUGGGACUGAGACACGGCCCAAACUCCUACGGGAGGCAGCAGUAGGGAAUCUUCCACAAUGGACGAAAGUCUGAUGGAGCAACGCCGCGUGAGUGAAGAAGGGUUUCGGCUCGUAAAGCUCUGUUGGUAGUGAAGAAAGAUAGAGGUAGUAACUGGCCUUUAUUUGACGGUAAUUACUUAGAAAGUCACGGCUAACUACGUGCCAGCAGCCGCGGUAAUACGUAGGUGGCAAGCGUUGUCCGGAUUUAUUGGGCGUAAAGCGAGUGCAGGCGGUUCAAUAAGUCUGAUGUGAAAGCCUUCGGCUCAACCGGAGAAUUGCAUCAGAAACUGUUGAACUUGAGUGCAGAAGAGGAGAGUGGAACUCCAUGUAUAGCGGUGGAAUGCGUAGAUAUAUGGAAGAACACCAGUGGCGAAGGCGGCUCUCUGGUCUGCAACUGACGCUGAGGCUCGAAAGCAUGGGUAGCGAACAGGAUUAGAUACCCUGGUAGUCCAUGCCGUAAAC
rnacentral:rRNA from 1 species